GUAGGGAAUAUUGGGCAAUGGUCGGAAGACUGACCCAGCCAUGCCGCGUGCAGGAAGACGGCCCUCUGGGUUGUAAACUGCUUUUAUCUGGGAAGAAAAAGGCCAUGCGUGGCAAAUUGCCGGUACCAGAUGAAUAAGCACCGGCUAACUCCGUGCCAGCAGCCGCGGUAAUACGGAGGGUGCGAGCGUUGUCCGGAUUUAUUGGGUUUAAAGGGUGCGUAGGCGGCUGAUUAAGUCAGCGGUGAAAGACUUCGGCUUAACCGGAGCAGUGCCGUUGAUACUGGUUGGCUUGAGUGUCGGAGGGGUACAUGGAAUUGAUGGUGUAGCGGUGAAAUGCAUAGAUACCAUCAGGAACACCGAUAGCGAAGGCAUUGUACUGGCCGACAACUGACGCUGAUACACGAAAGUGUGGGGAUCGAACAGGAUUAGAAACCCCGGUAGUCC
rnacentral:rRNA from 1 species